GUGGGGAAUAUUGGACAAUGGGCGAAAGCCUGAUCCAGCCAUGCCGCGUGUGUGAAGAAGGUCUUCGGAUUGUAAAGCACUUUAAGUUGGGAGGAAGGGCAGUAAGUUAAUACCUUGCUGUUUUGACGUUACCAACAGAAUAAGCACCGGCUAACUUCGUGCCAGCAGCCGCGGUAAUACGAAGGGUGCAAGCGUUAAUCGGAAUUACUGGGCGUAAAGCGAGCGUAGGUGGUUCGUUAAGUUGGAUGUGAAAGCCCCGGGCUCAACCUGGGAACUGCAUCCAAAACUGGCGAGCUAGAGUACGGUAGAGGGUGGUGGAAUUUCCUGUGUAGCGGUGAAAUGCGUAGAUAUAGGAAGGAACACCAGUGGCGAAGGCGACCACCUGGACUGAUACUGACACUGAGGUGCGAAAGCGUGGGGAGCAAACAGGAUUAGAUACCCGGGUAGUCC
rnacentral:rRNA from 1 species